rnacentral:rRNA from 1 species
CUUGCUUUCUUUACUGGCGACCGGCGCACGGGUGAGUAACACGUAUCCAACCUGCCCUUUACUCGGGGAUAGCCUUUCGAAAGAAGGAUUAAUACCCGAUAGUAUAAUGAUUCCGCAUGGUUUCAUUAUUAAAGGAUUCCGGUAAAGGAUGGGGAUGCGUUCCAUUAGGUUGUUGGUGAGGUAACGGCUCACCAAGCCUUCGAUGGAUAGGGGUUCUGAGAGGAAGGUCCCCCACAUUGGAACUGAGACACGGUCCAA